rnacentral:lncRNA from 1 species
CCCCCCCCCCCGCUGCCAACAGGUCAGAGGGCACGCUGAGUCCGCGCCGCCGCACUCGCCUCCGAAACCGCCGGCGCCAUGUUUGACAAGGGCACCGCCCCGCGUUCCGUGGGAGAGCAGCCCAGAGGCGAGAUCCUACCCUAAGCGUGCGUGCCUGCCCAAGGCCACGACCUGCCGGAGAGACACGUGUGGCGCCGAGAUAGCGAGCUUAACGGUCCCUUAAACGAAGAGUGAAUUAACUGAUCCGUGCUGCGAUACUUUCCCAUUCAUCGCCUGGCUCCCCCCACAGCGCUUGGGGACAGUGUCUCAUUAAGUAGCUGCCUUGGCGGGGAAUUCACUUUGUAGACCUUCAACUUGCACCAAUCCUCCAGCUUCUGCUUCCCAAGUAUGUUGAUUACACUUGGGUGCUACCAUGGACAGAGUACUGAUUCUGGAAAAAGGUGUUAACUUGCUUCCUGUACAUGAUUCAAGUGAACCAUGACCAUUGCUAACAGUGACGUUUUAUAAGUCUCCAAAAAAUGAGGAUGGGGUCCCAGGACAACGAUUCCACCUGUAUUGUUGUAAUGCCACUAAGCUGACAAACACCAUCCACAGAUUGCCUUUGGACCACAAACUGCUCAGGAUCAUUUCAAGGUGGCUAGUAGCUCACGGGCUUCUCUAGCCAGGACUUGAGGUAUGCCCUGCAGUUUCCAUCACACAGACACUGGACAACAAAUAAUAUACC